UAUUACUGUUCAUAAAGGACGGAAAAGACGAAAAAAUCACAGUGUUGCCAUUCGUGUUCUUUCGCCUUCCUCCACACUCUCUCAAAUUCAGAAGAAUCAGAAAGUCAACUCUGUUUUCGCGAUCCAAAGGAAAGAAAGAAAAUCCCAUUCCAAACAACUCCGAUUGUCUUUUGAUUGCUUUGGAUUUGGAUUUUGGUUUCAUUUUCAAAGCUUUGUCGUGUCUUUAGGUGGUCGAAGAGGUUUUGUUGGUGUGAUAGAAAGGGGAAGAAGAGGGAUUGAACUCGGCAGUGUUGGAAAGUUUGAAGCUUUGAUCGGUGUAUGCAGAAUUUGGUGGGGCAGUUCCUACUAGACCUGCAUAGGACUUGGCAUUUUCAAUUGCAAGGUUUAUACAAAAUGGUGGUUCUUUUGCCAACUACUACCUGUACCAUGGAGGAAUGAAUUUUGGCCGAAUGCUGGCAGUCACUUCAUUGCAACUAGCUAUGACUAUGAUGCAUAUCUAUAUGAAUAUGGGUUUAUUGUGCAGAUCAGAGUAACAGACGUCGAAGUUGAGGUUUUGUAGGUGGUGUAGCUUGGACGUAGAAGAGUACUUUGGUGUUAGUCCUCCGCUGUGUAGUGAGUUGUGGUG
rnacentral:lncRNA from 1 species